rnacentral:rRNA from 1 species
AUGCCGCGGUGAAUACGUUCCCGGGCCUUGUACACACCGCCCGUCACACCACGAGAGUUUGUAACACCCGAAGUCGGUGGAGUAACCGUAAGGAGCUAGCCGCCUAAGGUGGGACAGAUGAUUGGGGUGAAGUCGUAACAAGGUAGCCGUAUCGGAAGGUGCGGCUGGAUCACCUCCUUUCU